rnacentral:lncRNA from 1 species
UCUGCCUCCCAAGUGCUGGGAUUAAAGGCGUGCGCCACCACACCCGGCUCUUUGGUAGGAAAUAUAUAUCUACAGAUUAGCUAUACAGUUUUUAGUAAUGCCGGGCAUUGAACCCAGGGCCUUGCAUAUUACUAAAUAAGUGCUCUACUAUUGAGGUACAUGCCAAGUUCUUUUUAAAUUUUAGUAUUUUUCUUGAGCUAAGUUGCUCACCUUAAAUUCACUGUGUAGCUCAGGCUGACAUUGAAUCACUCUGUUUGGCUAGCAUUUCUUAGUAUUGAUAUGUUUGGAUGUGAGAUAUAUAUAUAUAUAUAUAUAUAUAUAUACACACACACAUAUAUGUAUAUGUAUAUGUAUGUAUAUAUAUAUAUAUAUACAUAUAGAGCUACAAAAAAACCCCAAUGUUUUCAUAGCUUAUUUCAAAACUACACAUGUCUCUUAGGAGAGCGUUGUGUAGUUUCCAUUGUCUUGCCUUUUCUCUGCUGUUUCCCUCCCUGGCUUUCUUUCCUCCACUUUUGACAGGCUUCACCUUGUUGUCUCUCCCAGUCCCUGCUCCUGGCUGAGAGGAUCCUUUUAUUUCAGACUCUGGAAUACCUAGGAUUAUAGGUGUGGUCCACCACGCCUGACUUUUUUUUUUUUUUUCAAGGUAGGGUUUCUCUGUACAAUCCUGGCUGCCCUGGAACUCACUCUGUAGACUAGGCUGGUCUUGAACUCAGAAAUCUGUCUGGGUUCAAAGGCGUGCGCCACCACUGCUUGGCAUGCCUGACUUCUUAAAAGGCUUCAAAGUGCAAGGACAGAGGCUCCUUGUAGAUUCCUAAAAUUUCUCCUGAAUUUAUCCAAAACAUAUGCAGACAGAUAAUGAAGAAAAAUCUGGGACAUGGAGGGAAGGGUGUUUGUGGGCUUCCAGUUUGAAAAAUUGAUUGAUUGUUGUGUCUAUGCAUUAAUUCCAAACCUAAGUUGUCACUUAUGGAGACAAAAAAGCCUUUUAUAAGUUAAAAAUUUGUUGAUACCUGCUAAUGAAGAACUAUCAGAAAUUCCACCUUGGAGAUUCAUUUCACAAAGGACUAGACCGGAAAUUGGCAUGAGGACAUUCAUCCAAUGUAUUGAAAAUUGAUUACAAUUCCAACAGAGACUUAGGGCAUUCUCAUCCUUCCCAUUACAUAGUGAUUACAUGAGCUAUUAUACCCUCAGAGUAAAUACAGUCUUAACUUGGUGUAUACCAAAUACAUUGAUGGGGACCUCUAGUAAACAGUUUAUAACCAAGUAAAGUAGUUCUUUUCCAGGUUUCUGAUCGGUCUAAUGACAUUUUAAACUUUUGGAUUGAUGGAAGCUAGUACUCUAAGUUAGUACAUUCCAAAGAUUCAGCUUUAUAAUCAGAAGGCUGUUGGGUAGAUACAGAGUUAGGUAAUAAAUACCUUCUCAGGAGACUAACGAUAGAUGUAAGUAAUUCAGGCCCUUGAUGUUCAGUACUCCACAUUCAGGAAGUUACAGUUAGCUAAUCAAGCUACACAAGUGUGGUUUUGUUUUUUAGAGAACAACAUUUUACUUUAUUUAUUUUCCUUUCUCUAUUGGACGUUAUUUUGAGGGCAUUAUCUUUUUAAUCUUCAGAAACAUGACUAUGACUUUUUGGAAUAUUGCCUGUCUUAUGGAAAUAUUGCUUAUUUGUUUAAUAGAGACAUGUGAAAAACAAGAGUGUUAGGUAUUAUGUGGUCAGAAAAGAUAAAGCUAGAUUCUGAGUGAUUUCUUCUGUUUUUUUUUUUUUUUUCAAGUUACAAAAGAAUACUUGAGUUGCUUAAAAGCUAUAUGAACGAUUUUUAAACACAUUAGAAUAACAAUAAUUUUAUAAUAAAAGUCUAGGUGGAAAGCAAUGUUCUGUUUUGAAUGGUAAGACAGACACCAUAGAGAGGCUCGAGAGAUGGCCAAGAGGUGAAAAGUUCUGGCUGCUCUUUUGGAGGACCUGGGUUUGAUUCCUAGGCUCACAACUGUUUAUAACUCCAAUUUCAAGGGAUUUGAGCUCUUUUCUGGCCUCCACAGGCAUCAGACGUGUAAUUGGUACACAGACUUGCAUGCAGGGAAAAUACUCAGACACACAAGAAAUAAAGUUGCCUUUUAAAAAAAUGACAUGGUAGGUUUAUCCCCAGCUCUUUUUAUAAAAAAAAAAUGACUUUUACAAAAGACAUUCCAUCCACAAUGAGUCAUAACUCCAGAAUGUUCUUCCUGUGUGGGCGAUAUUAAAUUUGUUGACAAGAAUGUUCUCAUCUCAAAUAGUGGUUUUAUGUAGAACCAUAAAAUGAUAGUUGCUUUAGGAUUUCUGAGACUUGCUGGAUUGUCUUGUCCUUCUGUAAGUUUGUGUUGCUAAUUGUGAGAAGCAGCCAGCAGAAACCAAGAGCUCAGACUCUGGAUCUGGUCCUUGUGAGUCACACCUCAGUGAGAUCCACCUUUCUUAAUUUUGUGCUUUUGGAUAAACUGGUGUUUUCAACAGAAAGAAUUGAAAUGAGCCUCACUAUACCCUGUGAGGUUGGAGUUAAGGCAAGGUUCAGUGAAAUGCUAGGCACAGGCAAGCAAAUGUGUUCUUGAAGUAGACCUAGAUGCCCUGAAGUUUUUUUUUUUUUUUUAAACCAUAGUUUGACUAUUUUAUGUUGUUGCUAAGAAUUUAUCUACCAGCCAGGCAUGGUGGUGCAUGUGCACACCUUUAAUCCCAGCACUUGGGAGGCAGAGGCAGGUGGAUUUCUGAGUUCGAGGCCUGCCUGGUCUACAGAGUGAGUUCCAGGACAGCCAGGGCUACAGAGAAACCCUGUCUCGGGGAAAAAAAGAAAAUAAUUUAUCUACCAAAUUUUUGUUUGUACACUAUUGGGGGUUGAAUCUAGGAUCCUUGUACAUGGUAGCAAAUACUCUAUCACUAGGUCAUUUCCAUUUUCCAUUGUAGCCCUAGUACCUAAGAACUGAAUGUUUUAAUAUAGAAUACAUCCAACCAGGUAUAAUAAAAAGGUCCACAUAAUUGGCAGAAAGGCAGCUCUGAGAACUGAGAGAUCUCAACAGCAAAGCAUGGCCCUGAAAUACAUGGUAGAAGAGUUUAGCUUUAGAUGCCAGACCCUAGGUAAACAUCAAAUAUGGACUAGAGUGGUGUUUUUUGUUUUUGUUUUUGUUUUUGUUUUUGUUUUUGUUUUUGUUUUUUUUUAAAGACAGGCUUGGCAGUAACAGCCAGAUGGUCUGAAGAUGAAGAAGAGGCAAAGUUUCAUGGAAAUGGUGCUGGCAGGGGAAAAUAGAAAGGGGGUGGAUGACAGCUCCAGGUGUAGAAAUGGUGGCUCUGCCAAGAAAGAUGAUUUGAAAGUAGGUCACUGGAGGUCAGGAUGGGAGGUUAUAGGAUCACUUUUAAAAUGCCUGCCAUGAAUCUACUCUGGGUAGUUCAUAUAAAAAUAGGAUUAUACAGAAUGUGAUUUUUUUGUGUCUAGUUUAAUUUAUGUGGUAUAUUAAAAUAUUAUAUGUGUGUCUCUGUGUGUAUGUGUCUUGUGUAUGUGAAGACACACAUGUGCCAUGGCAUAUGCUUAGAAAUUAAAGAACAUCAUGCAGGAGUUGGUUCUACCAUGUGGAUUCUGGGAAUUGAAUUUGGUAGCAAGUGCUACCCAACUUAGCUAUCUUACCAGCCCUUAGCCAUUUGGUUGUUUGUUUUUGAGACAGCAUUUCUUUAGUCAUGGAACACAGUGUAUAGAUCAGGCUAGUUUCAGACUCAGAGAUCUUCCUGUCUCUGCUUCCCAAGUAUUAGUUAUAAAGGCAUGGUACUACCACUCGCAGCUUAUGCUUUUUUUUUUUUUUAAUUACAUUUUUAAGGCUGGAGAGAUGAACCACUAGAUAAGAGCACUUACAGCUCUUGCAGAAGACAAGAAUUUGAGUCUUAACACCCAUAUGGUAGUUCACAGCCAUCCCUAACUCCAGUUCCAAGGGAUCCAGUGGCCUCUUUGUCUUCUUUGGGCACGAGGUAUACAUAUGGUGCACAUACCUAUACAUACAGGUGAAACAUUUCUUAC